CAGUCGCCGCGGGAAUACGGAGGGAGCUAGCGUUGUUCGGAAUUACUGGGCGUAAAGCGCACGUAGGCGGCUAUUCAAGUCAGAGGUGAAAGCCCGGGGCUCAACCCCGGAACUGCCUUUGAAACUAGAUAGCUUGAAUCCAGGAGAGGUGAGUGGAAUUUCGAGUGUAGAGGUGAAAUUCGUAGAUAUUCGGAAGAACACCAGUGGCGAAGGCGGCUCACUGGACUGGUAUUGACGCUGAGGUGCGAAAGCGUGGGGAGCAAACAGGAUUAGAUACCCCCGUAGUCCCUGUCUCUUAUAC
rnacentral:rRNA from 1 species